rnacentral:rRNA from 1 species
GACGAACGCUGGCGGCGUGCUUAACACAUGCAAGUCGAACGAAGUGGCGAACGGGUGAGUAACGCGUAAUCAACCUGCCCUUCAGAGGGGGACACCAGUUGGAAACGACUGCUAAUACCGCAUACUGAAGGAGGGGAUUGCGUCUGAUGAGCUAGUUGGAGGGGUAACGGCCCACCAAGGCGAUGAUCAGUAGCCGGUCUGAGAGGAAGAACGAGCACAUUGGGACUGAGACACGGCCCAGAAUCCUACGGGAGGCAGGAGUUGGGAAUCUUCCGCAAUGGACGAAAGUCUGACGGAGCAACGCCGCGGGAGUGAUGACGGGCGUCGGGUUGUAAAGCUCUGUUAAGCGGGACGCGGUACCGGCAUAGAAAGCCACGGCUAACUACGUGCCAGCCGCCGCGGUAAUAC